GCUGUGUCUCAAUUCAGGGUCUGCAUCCUACCUCGGCCGGAUUCGUCGGCCGGUUACGUCACAGCGCCGCGACUCGGCCUGUCCCAAUUCGAAGACUCCUUCAAAUGCGGUCGACGAAUGCGGCCUUCUUUUCGCCUGAAUGAAGGAUGGGUCGGGUGUAUCCUUCAAUAGGUAGCAUUUCCCAAGAUGCCUUGCGGGCCGGCCGGCAGAAAAACUUAAAAACAAUGGCGGACAGUGAAGCGGGAGCUGUCGGAGAGGAUUGCGCUUAUAAAUGACCAAAAGAGAAAACCAGGGAAUUUAUUAAGCUUAGGACGGAGAUGGACCACAUGAUCACCGGAGCAAAGUAUUCGGCGGCUGUGGCAUGGAGACUAUUCUGGAGAAAAUGGGCAUCCAGGGGAAGGUGCCAGCGAUGAGCUUCUGGAGCUGAUCUGGGAGGACAUGAGGCUGCAGAGGGAGGCAGAGCAGCAGGAGCACAGGAGAGAAGGAAGAACUUUGACAGCUUUUUACUUUGCUAGAAAAAAAUGGUUAAGGAAGAUUAAACAUGUACAUGUAAAAGAAAUAUCUAAAUAAAAUCAGUUCUGCAUUAAACUCUUCAAUUUUAUUUUUGUUUACAAAUGAGAAUUGUUUACUAGAGGGUAUCCGCUGGGUCUUGAAAAGUCUUAAAAGGUGAUAUAUCGGUUUUGGUCAAAGUAAGACCCUUAGAAAGUAUUAAAAACUAUUAUCACAUCUUUGCUCAGGCUCAGCUAGUCUAAAGUAUUUUCUCUGAAUUAGCUCUCCAACAGUCAAGGAAAUGAUUAACCCCCAGAGACCCACGGUUGUAGUAUUACAACAUCAGAUUUAAGUCUACAAAAAUAAACCUUCCCCAUUUUUUUUCUUUUUUAAACCACAUUUACAUUGCUAAUAGGUCCUAUUCAGUUCUGCAACACUAUUGGCUGUUAAAAUGUGUAAAUAGGCCCGUUUAUCUGGCCUCCUAGAACAACAUGUGAAAGGUUAAAAAAUAUUUUGCAGUUGUUUUCUAAAUUUGGGUUUCUGGGGGUUAAAAAGCUAAAUAAAACGUCGAGCUCCAUCGUUUAAGGUUCCUUCUGCCUUCUGCCCAGCGGUUCCACGGUUGCUAGGCGACGGAACGUUCGCCGAGGGAGUUCAUGAAGGCUAGGCCUGUCCAAAUUCACAGCCGUUAACAUCCGGUCUACCCGGCCGACGGAGGACGCAGCCCACGUCGGCCGGGUGGGCUGGGUCCUUCGAAGGAUGCAGACCCUGAAUUGAGACACAGCCAUAUAUUCUGAUAUAUAUCAAAAAUAUAUAUCUUGUUUCUACAUGAUAUCAGAAGGAGACUGCUUGUUUCUACAUGAUAUCAGAAGGAGACUGCUUGUUUCUUUAUGAUGUCAGAAGGACACUGCUUGUUUCUUUAUGAUGUCAGAAAGAUACUGCUUGUUUCUUUAUUAUGUCAGAGGCAGUCUGCUUGUUUCUUAUGUCAGAAAGAGACUACUUGUUUCUACAUGAUAUCAGAAGGAGACUGCUUGUUUCUACAUAAUAUCAGAAGGAGACUGCUUGUUUCUUUAGGAUGUCAGAAAGAUACUGCUUGUUUCUUUAUGAUGUCAGGAGACUGCUUGUUUCUACAUGAUAUCAGAAGGAGAAUGCUUGUUUAUUUAUGAUGGCAGAAAGA